AAGUCGUAACAAGGUUUCCGUAGGUGAACCUGCGGAAGGAUCAUUAUUGAAUGAACUUGAACGGACUGUUGCUGAUCCUCUCUUGCGAGGCAUAUGUGCACGUCUGUCAUUUUUAUUUCUCCCAACUGUGCACAUAUUGUAGACUUUGGAGGUCAAUUGCUCGAAUAUUCGUGCAGACUGAGAAUUUGCUGUGCCCAAGAGAGUCAGCUUUUUUUGUCUUGUAGCCAUCUCAAAGUCUAUGUUACUUCUAAUAAUCCAUGAAUGUGUAUAAGAAUGAUGAUAAUAAAUAAAGUUGUAUACAACUUUCAGCAACGGAUCUCUUGGCUCUCGCAUCGAUGAAGAACGCAGCGAAAUGCGAUAAGUAAUGUGAAUUGCAGAAUUCAGUGAAUCAUCGAAUCUUUGAACGCAUCUUGCGCUCCUUGGUACUCCGAGGAGCAUGCCUGUUUGAGUGUCAUUUAGCUCUCAACCACACUUGUUGACAAAUGAGUGGGGCUUUUGGAUGUGGGGGUUUUGUUUUUGCAGGCUUAGACAAGUCAGCUCCCCUGAAAUGCAUUAGUGGUAUCUGAGCUUACUACUAGGUGUGAUAAUUUAUCUAUGCCUUUUUAGUAUCACAACAGAUUACACUGCUUCUAACCAAGAUAAUGACAAACUUGACCUCAAAUCAGGUAGGACUACCCGCUGAACUUAA
rnacentral:rRNA from 1 species